ACAUGCUAAAAACCCCGACUUCGGAAGGGGUGUAUUUAUUAGAUAAAAAACCAAUGCCCUCUGGGCUCUUUGGUGAUUCAUAAUAACUUAACGAAUCGCAUGGCCUUGCGCCGGCGAUGGUUCAUUCAAAUUUCUGCCCUAUCAACUUUCGAUUGUAAGAUAGAGGCUUACAAUGGUAUUAACGGGUAACGGGGAAUUAGGGUUCUAUUCCGGAGAGGGAGCCUGAGAAACGGCUACCACAUCCAAGGAAGGCAGCAGGCGCGCAAAUUACCCAAUGCUAAUUCAGCGAGGUAGUGACAAUAAAUACUGAUACGGGGCUCUUUCGGGUCUCGUAAUUGGAAUGAGUACAAUCUAAAUCCCUUAACGAGGAACAAUUGGAGGGCAAGUCUGGUGCCAGCAGCCGCGGUAAUUCCAGCUCCAAUAGCGUAUAUUAAAGUUGUUGCCGUUAAAAAGCUCGUAGUUGAACCUUGGACCUGGCUGAUCUGUCCUCCUAAUCGAGCGCACGGAUUCGGUCGGGUCUUUCCUUCUGGGGAGCCCUAUGCCCUUCACUGGGUGUAGUGGGGAACCAGGACUUUACCUUGAAAAAAUUAGAGUGUUCAAAGCAGGCCUUUGCUCGAAUACAUUAGCAUGGAAUAAUAGAAUAGGACAUCGGUUCUAUUUUGUUGGUUUCUAGGACCGCUGUAAUGAUUAAUAGGGAUAGUCGGGGGCGUCAGUAUUCAAUUGUCAGAGGUGAAAUUCUUGGAUUUAUUGAAGACUAACUACUGCGAAAGCAUUCGCCAAGGAUGUUUUCAUUAAUCAGUGAACGAAAGUUAGGGGAUCGAAGACGAUCAGAUACCGUCGUAGUCUUAACCAUAAACUAUGCCGACUAGGGAUCGGACGGUGGUUUUUUAUGCCCCGUUCGGCACCUUACGAGAAAUCAAAGUUUUUGGGCUCGGGGGGGAGUAUGGUCGCAAGGCUGAAACUUAAAGAAAUUGACGGAAGGGCACCACCAGGCGUGGAGCCUGCGGCUUAAUUUGACCCAACACGGGGAAACUCACCAGGUCCAGACAUGCUUAGGAUUGACAGAUUGAUAGCUCUUUCUUGAUUGUAUGGGUGGUGGUGCAUGGCCGUUCUUAGUUGGUGGAGUGAUUUGUCUGCUUAAUUGCGAUAACGAACGAGACCUUGACCUGCUAAAUAGCCAGGUUGACUUUUGUCGGCCGCCGGCUUCUUAGAGGGACUUUUGGCUCAAGCCAAUGGAAGUACGAGGCAAUAACAGGUCUGUGAUGCCCUUAGAUGUUCUGGGCCGCACGCGCGCUACACUGACAGAGCCAGCGAGUACAUCACCUUGGCCGAAAGGUCUGGGUAAUCUUGUUAAACUCUGUCGUGCUGGGGAUAGAGCAUUG
rnacentral:rRNA from 1 species